AGAGUUUGAUCAUGGCUCAGGAUGAACGCUGGCGGCGUGCCUAACACAUGCAAGUCGAGCGAUUCUCUUCGGAGAAGAGCGGCGGACGGGUGAGUAACGCGUGGGUAACCUGCCCUGUACACACGGAUAACAUACCGAAAGGUAUGCUAAUACGGGAUAAUGUACUUUUGUCGCAUGGCAAAAGUAUCAAAGCUCCGGCGGUACAGGAUGGACCCGCGUCUGAUUAGCUAGUUGGAGAGGUAAUGGCUCAUCAAGGCAACGAUCAGUAGCCGACCUGAGAGGGUGAUCGGCCACAUUGGAACUGAGACACGGUCCAAACUCCUACGGGAGGCAGCAGUGGGGAAUAUUGCACAAUGGGCGAAAGCCUGAUGCAGCAACGCCGCGUGAGCGAUGAAGGCCUUCGGGUCGUAAAGCUCUGUCCUCAAGGAAGAUAAUGACGGUACUUGAGGAGGAAGCCCCGGCUAACUACGUGCCAGCAGCCGCGGUAAUACGUAGGGGGCUAGCGUUAUCCGGAAUUACUGGGCGUAAAGGGUGCGUAGGUGGUUUCUUAAGUCAGAGGUGAAAGGCUACGGCUCAACCGUAGUAAGCCUUUGAAACUGAGAAACUUGAGUGCAGGAGAGGAGAGUAGAAUUCCUAGUGUAGCGGUGAAAUGCGUAGAUAUUAGGAGGAAUACCAGUUGCGAAGGCGGCUCUCUGGACUGUAACUGACACUGAGGCACGAAAGCGUGGGGAGCAAACAGGAUUAGAUACCCUGGUAGUCCACGCCGUAAACGAUGAGUACUAGGUGUCGGGGGUUACCCCCCUCGGUGCCGCAGCUAACGCAUUAAGUACUCCGCCUGGGGAGUACGGUCGCAAGAUUAAAACUCAAAGGAAUUGACGG
rnacentral:rRNA from 1 species